GGCCCCUUAGCUCAGUGGUUAGAGCUAGGAACUCAUAAUCGCUUGGUCGCUGGUUCAAGUCCAGCAGGGGCCACCA
rnacentral:tRNA from 1 species